rnacentral:rRNA from 1 species
GAGUUUGAUCCUGGCUCAGGACGAACGCUGGCGGCGUGCUUAACACAUGCAAGUCGAACGAUGAUGCCCAGCUUGCUGGGUGGAUUAGUGGCGAACGGGUGAGUAACACGUGAGUAACCUGCCCCUGACUCUGGGAUAAGCGUUGGAAACGACGUCUAAUACUGGAUAUGAUCACUGGCCGCAUGGUCUGGUGGUGGAAAGAUUUUUUGGUUGGGGAUGGACUCGCGGCCUAUCAGCUUGUUGGUGAGGUAAUGGCUCACCAAGGCGACGACGGGUAGCCGGCCUGAGAGGGUGACCGGCCACACUGGGACUGAGACACGGCCCAGACUCCUACGGGAGGCAGCAGUGGGGAAUAUUGCACAAUGGGCGAAAGCCUGAUGCAGCAACGCCGCGUGAGGGAUGACGGCCUUCGGGUUGUAAACCUCUUUUAGUAGGGAAGAAGCGAAAGUGACGGUACCUGCAGAAAAAGCACCGGCUAACUACGUGCCAGCAGCCGCGGUAAUACGUAGGGUGCAAGCGUUGUCCGGAAUUAUUGGGCGUAAAGAGCUCGUAGGCGGUUUGUCGCGUCUGCUGUGAAAUCCCGAGGCUCAACCUCGGGCUUGCAGUGGGUACGGGCAGACUAGAGUGCGGUAGGGGAGAUUGGAAUUCCUGGUGUAGCGGUGGAAUGCGCAGAUAUCAGGAGGAACACCGAUGGCGAAGGCAGAUCUCUGGGCCGUAACUGACGCUGAGGAGCGAAAGCGUGGGGAGCGAACAGGAUUAGAUACCCUGGUAGUCCACGCCGUAAACGUUGGGCGCUAGAUGUAGGGACCUUUCCACGGUUUCUGUGUCGUAGCUAACGCAUUAAGCGCCCCGCCUGGGGAGUACGGCCGCAAGGCUAAAACUCAAAGGAAUUGACGGGGGCCCGCACAAGCGGCGGAGCAUGCGGAUUAAUUCGAUGCAACGCGAAGAACCUUACCAAGGCUUGACAUACACCGGAAACGGCCAGAGAUGGUCGCCCCCUUGUGGUCGGUGUACAGGUGGUGCAUGGUUGUCGUCAGCUCGUGUCGUGAGAUGUUGGGUUAAGUCCCGCAACGAGCGCAACCCUCGUUCUAUGUUGCCAGCGCGUUAUGGCGGGGACUCAUAGGAGACUGCCGGGGUCAACUCGGAGGAAGGUGGGGAUGACGUCAAAUCAUCAUGCCCCUUAUGUCUUGGGCUUCACGCAUGCUACAAUGGCCGGUACAAAGGGCUGCGAUACCGUAAGGUGGAGCGAAUCCCAAAAAGCCGGUC